rnacentral:rRNA from 1 species
GACGAACGCUGGCGGCGUGCUUAACACAUGCAAGUCGAACGGAAAGGCCCUGCUUUUGUGGGGUGCUCGAGUGGCGAACGGGUGAGUAACACGUGAGUAACCUGCCCUUGACUUUGGGAUAACUUCAGGAAACUGGGGCUAAUACCGGAUAGGAGCUCCUGCUGCUUGGUGGGGGUUGGAAAGUUUCGGCGGUUGGGGAUGGACUCGCGGCUUAUCAGCUUGUUGGUGGGGUAGUGGCUUACCAAGGUUUUGACGGGUAGCCGGCCUGAGAGGGUGACCGGCCACAUUGGGACUGAGAUACGGCCCAGACUCCUACGGGAGGCAGCAGUGGGGAAUAUUGCACAAUGGGCGGAAGCCUGAUGCAGCAACGCCGCGUGCGGGAUGACGGCCUUCGGGUUGUAAACCGCUUUCGCCUGUGACGAAGCGUGAGUGACGGUAAUGGGUAAAGAAGCACCGGCUAACUACGUG